rnacentral:rRNA from 1 species
GCCUUUGGCUAGACUGGACUACGUGCAUGUGAUCUCAGAAGCUAAACAAGCCUGGGCCCAGUUAGUACCUGGAUGGGAGACCGCCUGAGAAUCCUGGGUGCCGUAGGCC